rnacentral:rRNA from 1 species
UACGAAGGGGGCUAGCGUUGUUCGGAAUUACUGGGCGUAAAGCGCACGUAGGCGGACUAUUAAGUCAGGGGUGAAAUCCCGGGGCUCAACCCCGGAACUGCCUUUGAUACUGGUAGUCUCGUGUCCGGAAGAGGUGAGUGGAAUUCCGAGUGUAGAGGUGAAAUUCGUAGAUAUUCGCAAGAACACCAGUGGCGAAGGCGGCUCACUGGCCCGGUACUGACGCUGAGGUGCGAAAGCGUGGGGAGCAAACAGG